UAAAUGCCGACCAAGUAACACCAGAGUGGUCGACAUUGGGUAGGACAGUGCAGUGCUUGAAAAACAUCGAAAAAGGCAAUACAGGCCGAUAUCCUGUUUGCCACUUAUGUGGAAAUUAUUCACUAGAAUACUCCCAGAGUCAAUGUACGAGCAUCUGGAAAAAAAUGGAGUCCUGCCACAUGAGCAGAAAGGUUGCAAGCGUAAGUGCAGAGGUACCAAGGAUCAACUCCUGAUAGAUAAAGCUGAAAUUAAAUACUGCAAGAGGAGUCA